rnacentral:rRNA from 1 species
GAUGAACGCUGGCGGCGUGCCUAAUACAUGCAAGUAGAACGCUGAAGGAGGAGCUUGCUCUUCUGGAUGAGUUGCGAACGGGUGAGUAACGCGUAGGUAACCUGCCUGGUAGCGGGGGAUAACUCUUGGAAACGAUAGCUAAUACCGCAUGACAACAGUUAUUGCAUGAUAACUGUUUAAAAGGGGCAACUGCUCCACUACCAGAUGGACCUGCGUUGUAUUAGCUAGUUGGUGAGGUAACGGCUCACCAAGGCGACGAUACAUAGCCGACCUGAGAGGGUGAUCGGCCACACUGGGACUGAGACACGGCCCAGAAUCCUACGGGAGGCAGCAGUAGGGAAUCUUCGGCAAUGGACGGAAGUCUGACCGAGCAACGCCGCGUGAGUGAAGAAGGUUUUCGGAUCGUAAAGCUCUGUUGCAAGAGAAGAACGAGUGUGAGAGUGGAAAGUUCACACUGUGACGGUAUCUUACCAGAAAGGGACGGCUAACUACGUG